rnacentral:rRNA from 1 species
UCUGUGAACUCCUACGGGAGGCAGCAGUAGGGAAUCUUCCGCAAUGGACGAUAGUCUGACGGAGCAACGCCGCGUGAGCGAAGAAGGCCUUCGGGUCGUAAAGCUCUGUUGUUAGGGAAGAACAAGUAACGCAGUAACUGGCGUUACCGUGACGGUACCUAACGAGAAAGCCACGGCUAACUACGUGCCAGCAGCCGCGGUAAUACGUAGGUGGCAAGCGCUGUCCGGAAUUAUUGGGCGUAAAGCGCGCGCAGGCGGUUCCUUAAGUCUGAUGUGAAAGCCCACGGCUCAACCGUGGAGGGUCAUUGGAAACUGGGGGACUUGAGUGCAGAAGAGGAGAGCGGAAUUCCACGUGUAGCGGUGAAAUGCGUAGAGAUGUGGAGGAACACCAGUGGCGAAGGCGGCUCUCUGGUCUGUAACUGACGCUGAGGCGCGAAAGCGUGGGGAGCAAACAGGAUUAGAUACCCGAGUAUCCAUCAGCG